UGGGGAAUAUUGCACAAUGGGCGCAAGCCUGAUGCAGCCAUGCCGCGUGUAUGAAGAAGGCCUUCGGGUUGUAAAGUACUUUCAGUCGGGAGGAAGGUGGUAAGGUUAAUAACCUUAUCAAUUGACGUUACCGACAGAAGAAGCACCGGCUAACUCCGUGCCAGCAGCCGCGGUAAUACGGAGGGUGCAAGCGUUAAUCGGAAUUACUGGGCGUAAAGCGCACGCAGGCGGUUGAUUGAGUCAGAUGUGAAAUCUCCGGGCUUAACCCGGGAAUUGCAUCUGAUACUGGUCAGCUAGAGUCUUGUAGAGGGGGGUAGAAUUCCAUGUGUAGCGGUGAAAUGCGUAGAGAUGUGGAGGAAUACCGGUGGCGAAGGCGGCCCCCUGGACAAAGACUGACGCUCAGGUGCGAAAGCGUGGGGAGCAAACAGG
rnacentral:rRNA from 1 species